CGUGGACUGGCGGCUGCGGCCGCGGAGGCAGGCCCAGGAGCAGCAGGAGCUGCAGGGAGACCAGGACGCCCAGCGACGGCGGAAAGGAGGCCCCGCGGCCGCAGUCUGAGGGCCGCCCAGCAGAUGUGAGCCGUCACUGACGCGGGGGCAGAAGAGCAGCCCCACAGCAGCAUGUCCAGGGGGGUGACCCCACGGAGCCAGGGCCUCUCCUUCCUCUGGAGAGCAGGCACAGGAGGGGGCUGCCGUGGCUCACCAGGUGCAGGGCCGUGCGGCUGUGGGGCUGCACGCUGGAGGUACUGUCCCGCGGCCCGCCGCCUCUGCCUCCCCCCAACUCCCUCUCCCGGUUCUCGGCAUCUGCCAGAUGACAGCACCUGAACCCAACCAGGUGGAGGUCCAAGCGCCUCACCACCCUGCCCAGGGCCAGCCUCCCCAGCGACACAGCCCUGGGGAGUCAAGGAGGUGAGGGGGUGCUGGCCACCACAGCUUUGCAGGGAGGAGCUCAGCUUGCUUGACACUCAUUUUACAGCCAAGGCUGCUAGGCACCGGGGUGGGGGUGUGGCUCUGGCAGCCCCCCAGACGAAGCGGGGGCACUUACCAGCUCGGCAUCAGCCUUUGCAUCGUAGUACAUGACAUCUUCCUCCUGGUCGGGGAGAGAGGACGUGGUACUCUAAGCUCAGGGUCUCUGGAGGUGAGGCCUGGAAGCCCACCCCCACCCAGAGCUGCGUCCGGGGAGGGCUGGCUGGGCCCUGCCCCCCUGCAGACUGUCCUCCGGGGCCUCCACAGGCUCCAGGGCAAUGUGGUACCCCAGGUUAGCCCAGGGUCCUCCAGACUCCCCGACCCCGGGCCCAGGCUGCGCGCUGCGGCUUUGGGAGCAGGGUCAGAGCUGGUCUGUCUGCAGAGACUGGCUGAGGCAGUGCCAGGGAGCCGGGAAGACAGAGAAACAGCCGAAUCUAGGCAAGAGCGAAAUGAGGACUCGGCACGGCAUCUCCCAAUUCCUUCUAUUAAAAAGCCUGCUCAUUAUGGGCAUGUACUUAUUAAUUAUCUGUGAUUUGUUGUGAAAUGCAAGGGGGUUUACACAACAGGAGCGGGAGAAAACAAAGCUGGCCGCGCCUGCCUCGCUCCCCGCCCGCCCGCAGCCCGGCCUCACCGCCCGCCGCCUGGGUUCUUGGCCAUCUGCGUGUCAUAAUCACCGGCCACCCCAGGGACCCGUAACACAAACGGGCUAAUUUCAUGUUUAAUGAUCUUUAAUCAGAACUGAGCAUGGCUGACAGAGACUGCCAGGAGGUGAGAAUCUGUUGCCACCGAGUGCCAUGCACACAGGAGGGUCUACUCCACCCCAGCCCCAUGGGCCCUAGGGCCAGGUCCCCAGGCCUGGCACCAUGCUUGGGCAAGACCACAGCCUCCUGAUGAAGUGACUUGACAGUCUCGGGAGGCACGUUCCAUGUCUAGCUACCGGGCUCUCCUGAUAGCCAUGGCCCCAUCACACAGGACACGGCCCAGGGCUAGGAACGGCUCUGCACGGUGGCUCCAAGCUGCCUUCCCAACUCAG